GCAGUGAUGCAGAUGAUCUGUGUGGCUCUUACUCUACUUUGCCCUCCUCAGUCCAGCUGCUGCCCUUUUCUUGGCGACUUUGAGGUCCCUCCGACUCGGCUGAUCUUCCCAAAGGGGUGUCCUGGAGAUCUUAGCCCAAAGAAGUGAAUUUACGUGGGAAUUUCAGCCAUUGUGGCAGACCAGGUGAAGAAGUUUUGAGAGUGAGUGUGCUUAGUGGAAAUGCUUAAUUCAACCCCAAAGGAUGGGACACUGGAAUAAAACUGGCCUCGUUCAACUUUUUGUUCGGUUCUUCUUCUGGUAACGAAGUUAUCACUUCACUUUUUGUGUGUCCAAAAGGAAACUUGGAAUCCAAAUUGGUGAAGUUCAUGAAGAACAGUCGUUGGAGGCACUCAUGUUCAGCAGUCAUUUUUCCAUAUAGUCCUAAAGUAACUUCUAACUUUUGGCAUAGAUGUUGAUGCUUCUUCAAAAGAUUUGUGUCUUCUGGUUUUCAUGUGGUCAGUGGUAUCACUUAGCCCUCAUGAGAGAUGGUAAACCGUAUUGAUAAACAUUCUAAGUUCCAUAUACAUCAUCAGUUUCCUUAUGAAAUCAAAUUCAGAGCUUAUUUUUUAGCUCUGCUGCUCAGAGUUCAUUGCAAAAUAAAACGACAUUACUAUGUAAUAAUAGCUACUGUAUAUGUAUGUAAAUCGUACGGUGACUCACAAAAUCAUGUUAUGGCUGUUUUCAGGCUGCUGUCCAUAAGCUCUAUGAUAAAGUGGCCCAGCCUCUGGUUCCCAUCUAUGUCUCCCACCUAGCCAAUGGAGUCUCAUGUUUCUGCUGACCCUACCAACAGAUGACUCAGUGGCUCUGUGCCUUUGGAAGGGUGUGGGUGUGGCAUAGGCUGCAGCACAAUUGACUGGCCCAGCAAUGGCUUGUUGGGGCAGGGAUGUUGAGUCUUUCUCCACUGCCACCUAAACUGUAUGAAAUUAGCUUCCUGAGCUCUUUCUUGCCUGAGGGCACUGCAUUAACCAGCAGGUGCCAUGUCUGCUGUCUUUGAAAGGGAGAAACUUGUUAUGCUGAGUCUGGAAAAAAUAGGGAAAAGAGAGCUGGGUUAUGGCUAGACAUCUUUUAGACUUAAUCACAUGUUAAAGUGAAAAAUCUGUUUAUUGUGCAUACAUCUCCCACAGUAUUAGCCAAGACCAUAUCAGAAGCUGAAAAUACAAAGUAGAAGUCUGCCGACACAGUUAUUAAUAAUUCUUCAUUAAAAAAUUUAAAAUCUGAGGGAAAUGUUAGACAAGUUGGGACACUGGGACCACAGGUAUAAACCGGGAUUGUCCCGCUUACAGGAAAAUAAGGGAGCUUCAUUUUCUUUGCCCUUUUGGGAAUGGUGUUUGUAAUUUUCCUCCCUGCUGUACUAGCAUAUUUGAGUUUUCUAAAGUUGUGGUUUCCUAGGUUUGAAUUCACUAAGCUAAUAGCAAUAAAUGAGCCCAGAAUGCCUGCUUGAUACCUGUGGCUGUGUGACCACCAGUUUAUUUCUUUUGCUGUUGAAAGUAAUUUAAAAGCUGCCUGAUUGACUAGGCUGUCUUGGUCACUUAGUUAUAAGGACAGACCUGAGCCGGCAGGGAACAAAAGGCCUGGCACAUGUUAUGUAGUCAAUAAAGAGUUUAAUAAAGGAGCUAUUGUUGGGGGUGUUAUUGAAAGCCACCAACUUUCUCAUGGCUGUUUUCCUUGUAACAGUAGUGAUCUCAAAGGAGAUUCCAUGGUUAUGUGUUUAUGACUCAUAUAAACUUAUAGAUAUUUAAUGGAAAUAUAAAUAAAGAGUCAAAAAGUAAUGUCAAUAGUUUCUUGAAAAUCAUGGUAAAAUGACCUUAGAGCAUUCAAAAUGUCAAUAAACAACUGCCCCAUUAUAGCACCAGAAUCAUAAGAUCAUGCAAAGAGGUUUACAGAAAUAAAAAAAGAAGGAGAGAGAGAUAGACCACUUAUCUCAGAAUCUUUGGGCAAAGACCUAGCACAAUCUACUCUUUCUGCAGUGUCUACUGCAACUUUUGCCUCUGCUUGACAUGUCAAACUAUGCAGCUAAAUGCUGAUACUCGAUAUUAUUUGAUGUCCUAAUCAGGCACUCAUUCAAUAGAAACCACUGUGGAAUGUUGCAAAGACAUAGAAAUUGAAAUUCUAGUUGCUGAUGUUAUUCUUAGCUUGCCACUUUGGUUCCAGGGUUUAAAUUGAUUUUUUUUCUAGGCUUUUAAUUAAGUAUAUGAACAGGGGCAUAAUGAGACCAUGGUUAACACUAGAAUUGGUGUGAGGUUCUCUCAUCACUCACCACACCUUGUUUCAAAUCUUUUUAAUUGUUAUUUUUCAGCAUUAAAGAGAGUGGACAUUAUCAUUUAUAUUUAAUUUGUCUAAGAACGUUAUAGAGGGACCAGAUGUAUUUUCUCAAAGGACAGAUACCUAUAUUAGACAUGAAGGGAAUUUUAUAGUUAGUCCUUAAGAGGUAGGAUAGCUUUGUGUGUUCUGUAAUUUAGUUGCUUAAAUUCUGACAGAAUAAAACAACUUGUGUUGCUCUGAAAAUAACUGGUGGAAAGAAACCGCUUUAGCAUGGGCUUCAUCAAAGACUGUUCUAUGGAGCAUGAGUCAUAUGAACUGCUCCAUGAAAAGAGGAUUCUGUGGCCAAGACCCACCUUAUUUUUUGUUCUUGGAGUUUGGUUAGUCCUGUGAUGGAGAAACCAUUCCUGGAGUUUUCUAAAGCUUUCUCGAGUUUAUCAUUAAAGUCCUUAUUCUGCAUUACUUCUCAUAGAAGCACUGUAGUAGUGUAAUAUCAUUUCUUUAAGUCUGUUUUCUUGCAUUUGUUGGGUUAAUGUCUUACUUUCUACAGUCCCAAGACAUUAUUUCCUAUUCAUUUUAUCUACACUAAAUAUAGAUGUAUUUUUCUUUCAGUUCUUUUCUUCCAGCAGACAAUGAUAACCCCUACAAAUGCUCUCAAUGUCUGUCAUCAUAUAAAAUCAGUGACUCUCUUUCCAGAGUUCAUGAGCUUGUGUUAUCCAGUGUCAUUUCUUACAUUUUUUUGCUUCUUGAUAUUUGAAGCUUUGUUAUCAUCUACUCCACAGUAGAACCAUUGAAAUUUAGCUCAGUUUGAAAUUUGGUCAACUUCUGUUUCUCUCAUUCCCAUUUCUCUUAUCCCCAAAUGUCACUUUGUUCUCAUAUUUGAUCAGUACAAUAAACACUGAUCUAUUGUAUUUGUAUCUGUCAUUCCCAUAAAAUGAAAACGUUCUGGAUUAUGGAUAUAAUCUUUUGACAGACCAAUACUGACCUUAUUCACAUCCCCCACCCCUGAAUAGUAGAUUUACUACAUUUUUUCCCCCUCCAGUACAAGUCUCAGUGGUUGCUGAAAGUGUAGAAUCCAGGCCAGCAGUCUCAGUGGGACACCUUUCUGCCCUGCUGUAGGAGUUAAAAUCUGGAUUCAUUCAAUUUACUUGAGGAAAUCUGAGUACCUUUGACAUUCAGGGCAUUGGGGUACAGUGACGAGGAAGAGUACAGACAGGCCCUGCCUUCAUGAGACAUAGAUGACAGUGUUGUCAGCUGCUUCUGAAAUAGUGUGCAAUACAGUUUUUAAAAAAUGUUUUGUGCAGCUGAUUAAGUACACAUCCCCAGCACCUUCCCCAGGGAACUCUCACACUACUAGUCUGUGUACCAGCCCUGGACGCCCCAAGGCCAGGUACCAGACAACUAAAAAUAGCCCCUAAGUCCCAGAGCCUGUGAAAUUAUUCCAAUCAGCCAGCUCACAGGGAGCUUACUAAACUUAGUUAACCCCGCCCUGCUUGUAUAUCAACUCCCCCCUGCCCCAGGGUGUGAAACCUCUGUGUGGCUCUGCCUGGCGGCCUUCUCUAUUUUGGCAAAUAACAAAAAGUCCUGCUUUUCAUCUAUCCAAGUGUCAGUGUGUGGUAUCCUGCCAUCAAAGAACUUAUAAAUCUAGUAAAACAGAGCUGCAAGCAAAAUUGUGGUUUUUCUUUCUUAUUGUUAUGAAAAUUUCAAAGGACUUAAAAUGGAGUACUAAUUGGUGGUGAAAAGGAGAUGGGAUCAGGAUUUUAAGAGGAGGGAGGAAAUUUUUAAAAAAUUACUUAAGUAACUUUGUUCUCCCACCAAGGACAUUAGCCAAUUAAUAUACUCCUUGUAUUCAUUUGUUUAUUGCAUGCUUAUUGAGCAUUUGCUGUAUCACCUUGGUAAUAUACAAUGUUCUAGGAGGUAUGUAGGAACAGAAAAUGCUUACCCUUUUCUUGAGAAACCUACAGAUUAAUUGAGAAGCAUAACAUGCAUGUAGAAUGAUUAGGUAGAUAAAAUCAAGUCUGUAGUAAUAUAGCUACACCAUUCCUGUAAGUCCAAAAAAUGACAAAAAUACUAGAAAACUAGGGAAAUAAAUUUGCUUGCAAUUUUCAGUGAUAGCUAACCUUAAAGUAAUUUUUAAGUUACUCAGUAAUUUGGCUGAAGAAGUAUUUGCAUCAUUGCUCUUUUCCUCAGUUCAUUCUUCCCAGUUCUGAUACCCUUUCUCUGAGGCACAUAGGGCCUAGCUGUUUCUAACUGUAUGUAAAGCUCCAAUGGUAUGGAGUCAUGGGGAUUUUGAGCUGAAGCAGGUAACGAAGUUCUCCCAAGGGAUAGAUUUUGAAGGAAUGUGUUGGCAGUUUGGAUCAGAUGAAGCUUUUUCUUUUAAAACUUGGGUAUGUUUCAAAAAGGAAAAUGGUUUCAGCCCAAAUCCAUGUGCACAACCAACCUUCCUGUUUGGGGAAUUGAAUGCUUAGCUAGUUUAUUUUUGAUGGACAGCCUUCUGUGUGUUUUAAAUGAUGGUUGACUGGCCUAGAAACUGUUUUUUUUCCAGAAUGCAUUUGGUGGUGUUCCCUGAUCUUCAAGGGAACUCACACUUUUUGUGAAGGAGAAGGAGGAAGCUGUAGUUGAUCAAGGCUCUGUCCUUCUCUAGACUCAUUCCACUGACUGUCAACCGUUCUUCCUACCAAUGCUUUCUUAAUUGAACAUCUGCCCUGUAUAAAGGACCAUAGUGGCCUCAGCAAGGGAUGCUAAGCCUGCCAACAGAGAGACGCGGCAUGGACUUUAUAUGUGGCAGAAUGUGGGCCUGGCCAUAAGAGAGACAUAAAGUGUUGUGCACACGGAGUGAAAGAAUCACUUCAAACUGGGUGGAUCUAGAAGAGCUUUACAGAAAAAAUAACACUUGAGCUGGGACUUGGAGAACAGGUUUGAUUUGGCAGCUAGAGAAGGAAUCAGCAAACUGAAGCCUAUGGGCCAAAUCCAUCCUCUCCUGUUUUUAUAGAUAAAGUUGUAUUGGAUCUCAGCCAUGCCCAUUCACUGAUGUAUUAAUCUAUGGCUGCUUUCAUCCGACAACAGCAGAGUCCUGUUGAGGACAGGAGACUAUACAGAGGACAGCUGUAUAGCCCUUAAAGCUAAAACAUUUUCUAUCUGCCCUUUUAUAGAAAAAGUUUGUGACCCUUGGUUUAAAGUCAGUUGCCUGAGGGACUUGAUAUAUGGCCUUGAUAUUUGAACUUGAUGUAAGCCAAAAUAUAUGACUUCAUUUGGCAGACAUUCUGGAAACAAGAGUGUUUCUUAGACUUGGAAGUGUUUGGGUGUUCAUGAUGGCACUGAACUUCAGGACAGGGAGUGAGGUAGAUGAACUCCAGAAGGGAGAUGCUACAGGCAGUAAAAAAAAAAAAAAUGCAUAAGUUAAUGUUGUUGCAUAUGUGAAAAAGAAUGAAUGUGGAUUAGGAGGAUAUCUUGGAUAAAAGGAAGAGGGUACAAAAAACAUUGUGAACAAAGCUCUAGAAGGGUGACCCAAAGGAAAGACAGAAUUGAGGAUGAAUCUAGAAUCUUGAGCCUGAAUGAUGGGGAAUGUCAAGGAUUCCUUCUCUGAAGAUAUAUUGACCUGAACAGGACAAAUUUUCCCUCCCCUGCUCCAUUCCAGUUAGGAGGAGGGAUCAAGAUGGCAUGGACCCAUCCCUCAGGGCAGCUGGUGUUAGAGGAGAGGUAGUUAAAAGCUAUUGUUAUUGAGGGAGCAAGACUCAAAGCCUUACUUAUGGAAAAAUAGCUGUUACUGUAUAGGAAACCAUCCUAUGUUGUCUCUUAGAAAAAAACCACUAUGUGAGUUGGAGGAGUGUCCUUGUAUUUUAGGUCAUCUUGCAGGAUUGCGAGAUAAAAUAUAAAUUGCCUGUUAAAUUUGAAUCAGAUCAACAAGGAACACAUAUUUGUAUAAAUAUGCCCCAAACAUUAUGGGACAUACCUGUACCAAAAAUCCUUUGUUCUUGAUCUGAAAUUCAAAUUUAUCUGGGCAUCAAUUUCAGAUCAACAAUGAAUAACUUGUAGUAUCUGUCCCAAGGAUGGGAUAUAUUUAUACCAAAAAAAAUAAUCUGUUGAUUAUCUAAAAUUCAAAUGUAAUUGGGCUUUUUUCCCUAAAUCUGAUAACCCUAUUUCUAAGGUAAGCAGCCAAAGUUUUUACUUUUGGGGAGACUGAACAAGGAUUGGGGCACCUAAAUUUGUUUACCCUCAUAGGAAUGGAGUUGACUCCUUUGGCCCUUCUGGAGCCCACAAUGAACAGAGGAGAGUUCAGUGGACAUCAGGCCAGAGUGUGGGACACUGAUAAGGAGGGCAGAUAGAGGAUGGAUCAAUGGGCAUUGUGGGCUGAAGUUUCCAGUGGUCAAACACCAAUGUAGAUGUUGCUGUGAAGGUGUUUUUUAGAUGUGAUUAACAUUUAAGUCAGUAGAAUUUGAAUACAGUAGACCACUCUCCAUAAUGUGGAUGGGCCUUAUCCAAACAGUUGAAGGUCUUAAGAGAAAAGGCUGAUGUCACUAGAAGAGGAGGGAUUUCUGCCUCCAGACUGCCUUUGAACUCAAGACUGUAACAUUUACCCCUGCUGGAAUUUCCAGCCUGAUAGCCUGCCCUGCAGAUUUUGGACUUGCCAGCUCCCACAGUUGCAUUAGCCAAUUCCUUAAAGUAAAUCUGUGUCUCUCUUUGUCAUAUGUAUGUCUGUAUAUAUUUGUAUACAUAUAUGUGUAUUCACACACACAGACACACACACAUUCUGUUGGUUCUGUCUCUCUGGAGAACCCUAACUAAUACAGGGAGGCAGAUGUAUUAGUAGCAUUGAUGCCCAUUCAUUUUCUCAGAGUUCUAUUGGGAGCUGUAUCAGUGGAGCCACUGCUGAUUUCCUCCAGCACCAGUUUUCUUCCCUCAGCCCCAAGCCUGAGCCACAGUAAGACCAAACUCCCUGGUUGCCCACACAGGUCAUCAAGAUGCGUUAUUUCAAUCAGGGAAAGAUAACCACACCUGGGUUACACCUCUGUGAGCCAUCGCACAUGGGAGGGGGGCUGUUCCGCAGAGCUGGAUGGGCACAGCAUUGGUCUUGGGAUUUGCAGAGGGAGAACUGCCGUUUGACCUCAGGUAAACCCCCAACACAGCAGCCACGGAGUGUGCUGUUAAAACAGCUUGUGCCUAGGAAGACUGCUUCUCCAUAUUUCUUUCCCCUCUUUAUCCAGCCUCCUCACUGGAGAGAUGAUGCAAAGAAAGACGUGCAGGUUUAUAUUAAACAUCUUUGGUAGAUGGCGUGUCUGUCUGCUCUCCUCCCAGCUCCCUAGCAACAGCUAUGUCAUUCUUUUAUACAUUUUUUUUUUCAUGGAAAUUCUAGCUUUCUGUGUAGGUCUCUCUCUCUCUCUUUUUUUCUCAGUAUCUUUCCCUCUGCCUGUGUCUAUUUCCCUUUCUCUCCCUUUCUCCCCUGCUUCUGUCUCUGUCUCUGUCUCUCUGUGUGUUUCUUUCUCUCUGCUGUGAUUUCCCACAUUAGCCACUGUCCAUUUCUUUGAUUCCUUCUUGGCAACAAGAGUUACAGCACCAUUAUGCAGCAAGCAGUCCUGCUUCCCUGCUACCUUAAAAUAAUAAUGUUUCAUGGUGACAAAUGGAUAUAGUUAACAAUGAAAGUAAAAUGCUUAGCAGGCAGGGGUGCGACCAGGUCAGAUUUAUCUGCCUGGCAGAAACAGAGUAUCCUGAGAUUCCCUAAAGAAAGGAAUAUAUGUGUGAGGGUAGCUGGUAGUGCUUGCUAGGUGGACCCUGCUGCUGUUUUAUUUUUAAUUUAGCUUCCAUAAAUUGCAAGAAUAAUUUCUCAAAAGCAGAAAAAUAGUUAUUUUUUAUUUACUCAGGUUUUGUUAUUGUCUUAGGAAACUUAACAUUAGCAGAUUUUAAAAUCUGAUUUUACAUUUGCUGUUUUUCUUUGAUAAAAAGUUAAAACCCAGAAUAAGACAAUCUUAAUUAAUGCAGAUAAAUAAUCCUUUUUGUGCUCAGUGGCUAAAGUUUCUAUGUUGUGUUGAAAAAGGCCCAAUUAAAGUGAAAAAAAUUGAUUUUUUUUUCUAGACUGCCUUUCUACUACUGAGAGGAAGAAAAACCCC
rnacentral:lncRNA from 1 species